UACGUAGGGUGCAAGCGUUAAUCGGAAUUACUGGGCGUAAAGCGUGCGCAGGCGGUGAUGUAAGACAGAUGUGAAAUCCCCGGGCUCAACCUGGGAACUGCAUCUGUGACUGCAUUGCUGGAGUGCGGCAGAGGGGGAUGGAAUUCCGCGUGUAGCAGUGAAAUGCGUAGAGAUGUGGAGGAAUACCGAUGGCGAAGGCAGCCCCCUGGGAUAACACUGACGCUCAUGCACGAAAGCGUGGGGAGCAAACAGG
rnacentral:rRNA from 1 species